rnacentral:rRNA from 1 species
UAGUGAGUUUGAUCCUGGCUCAGGAUGAACGCUGGCGGUAUGCUUAACACAUGCAAGUCGAACGGGGUUCUUCGGAACCUAGUGGCGGACGGGUGAGUAACGCGUGAGAAACUGCCCCUUGGACCGGGACAACAGCUGGAAACGGCUGCUAACACCGGAUGUGCCGAAAGGUGAAAUAUUUAUAGCCUGAAGAAGAGCUCGCGUCCGAUUAGCUAGUUGGAGAGGUAACAGCUCACCAAGGCGACGAUCGGUAUCUGGUCUGAGAGGACGAUCAGCCACACUGGGACUGAGACACGGCCCAGACUCCUACGGGGAGGCAGCAGUGGGGAAUUUUCCGCAAUGGGCGAAAGCCUGACGGAGCAAGACCGCGUGGGGAAGG